AAAAAAAAAAAAAAAACAUGUUUUCAGUUAGCUUUUAACUGUGUGAAAUAGACAUUUAUGUUUUCAUCCACUGCCUUUAAUGUCAUAGUUUGCUAGUGAUGGACUUUGAACUAUGCAUAUAUUGUGUGUUGCUUUCAGCCAAUCAACGCUGUCAUGAUGUUAUCAGCUCAUUUUCAGACAUUGGCUCAAAACGACCUGGCAGCAGAACAGAGCACCUAUGAGCAAAGAUGAUUUCAAAUUGCAUACCGAGCAAGCGCUGUUGGAAUGCUAAUGGUUAGCUUUAGCAUGGUAUAUUAGUCUUUCAUGGUUUCCACUAACCCAAACUUUAGAAUUUCUCAUUUAGAGUGAGUCUGGCAUUUCAAAAAAUCAGCAUACAUGAAAACAAUGUCAGUUUAUGAAAAAGGAAGAAAGAAACGAAUCAGCCGUGGUUGACAUUUGAAACUCUGACUUGUCAGACGGUGAAUUAUGUUCAAGCCCUGUUAGAAGAAGCGCACAGCAUGCCUGCACAGAAAUGCGGCGUUACCUUCAAAUUAUGCAGGAGCGACUCGUGCUCGUCCGUGGGUUGGCUGCACGCCGCUCGACAUGUGUCAGGGCCGCCACGUCUCCGCUGAGCUAAUGAUGCUACACCGGACAGCCCACUGUCCUUCUGAGCGUGCGUGCGUGUGUGAGCCCAGACGUGACAUCGUCAGUAGAGACCCUCCAUCUGAUUAAAACAAAACCAAACCAGAAAAAGCAAGCGGGGGAAAAAGAAAAGAAAAAACCGGCACAGAUGCGUGUCAGGUUAAGCUGGCGAUGGGGUGGACAUGCUCGCGUUGUUUGUAAGAUGCCAGAGAAGCUGUGGGUGGAUUUCAGCCCGGGUUUUGGUGCAACUCCCCUCCGUUUUGCUAUCGAGUCCAAUACAGCGGCUGAGCGGAUGGGCUGAAGUGAAGCUGGUCGUCUCUGCUCGGCGUGAGUGAUGAGCAGUAGAAUAGACAGGCUGUCACAGCACACCUGUAGGCCUGGCAGCCGAGUCCAUCAUUGGGCUGAGCCUUCACAGAGAUUAAAAACACUGCAUCCAUUAGGCCUUGUGUCAGCCGUCAUUAUUCUAUAAAGAAGCGAUUUUGUCACAUCUACAUUCUUCAGGCCGCUAUCCGCACGCAGAUGAAUAAGCGGGAUGUUCCAUCUCCAAACACGGCUCACUUUUGACAGGAACACAACCAUUUGUGACGCCAUCUCCCCAAUACUUCACACAUCCAUUGGGAAGGAAGCAUCAAAUAAGUCUUAAUGCAAUGAUCCCGCAGUCCAUCACCUGAUGGGACUUUAAGUUUUCCAGUCAUAUUUAUUCUCGGAAAUGUACGUUUCGUCCUAGAGCUGUCAUUCAAACGGGCUCACAAUUUAUUCUGCCAUGUGCAUUUAUCUGACAG
ensembl:lncRNA